AUUGAACGCUGGCGGCAUGCCUUACACAUGCAAGUCGAACGGUAACAGGUCUUCGGAUGCUGACGAGUGGCGAACGGGUGAGUAAUACAUCGGAACGUGCCCGAUCGUGGGGGAUAACGAAGCGAAAGCUUUGCUAAUACCGCAUAAGAUCUACGGAUGAAAGAAGGGGACCGCAAGGCCUUGCGCGAACGGAGCGGCCGAUGGCAGAUUAGGUAGUUGAUGGGAUAAAAGCUUACCAAGCCGACGAUCUGUAGCUGGUCUGAGAGGACGACCAGCCACACUGGGACUGAGACACGGCCCAGACUCCUACGGGAGGCAGCAGUGGGGAAUUUUGGACAAUGGGCGAAAGCCUGAUCCAGCCAUGCCGCGUGCAGGAUGAAGGCCUUCGGGUUGUAAACUGCUUUUGUACGGAACGAAAAGACUCUUUCUAAUAAAGAGGGUCCAUGACGGUACCGUAAGAAUAAGCACCGGCUAACUACGUGCCAGCCGCCGCCGUAAGAC
rnacentral:rRNA from 1 species